UGGAAGGACAGGAGGAGGGACAAAGGUCAAAUAUGAGAGAAACGUGGGGAAAAUUACAUUAAAUGAAGUUCUUGUUCAAUGAAGAAACAAAAAGGAAUGAGAUAACUAAUGCUACACUAAACAACUAAUAGCAGAAAGUUAAAUGACAUAAAAAUCUCAAAAUUCAUUCUCAGUUGGAGGCACUAUCCUAGCUGACUUUUGCCUCUAAAAUCUUGUUUUUCUCAAGAAGUUCAUUACAAACAUCCUUAGAGUGUUUCAGUUCAUUUUUUAGCACCUCAAACAAAAUCAUUUGGCUUUUACAAAAUGUAUUUUCUUGAGAAACAAACUCAAACUAAUAUUUUCAGACCUUAGAUAUUCAUUUGCCUUUUUAAGUUAGAAUACCUUUUCUUGUACCAUCUAUAUUCUUUGUGAGCUAAAGCAAAAGCAUCUUCUAAUUCCUCAAAAGAAAUCAGUUCGGAUUCACUUACCUGCUGAAGACUUUUUUCUUUCUUUGAACUUUCAACAUCUUCCACACCAUUAAACAUAAAUUUGCAACUUCCUUGGUGUUGGAAACAGCAUCACUUGAUGUAGAGUCACCACUUGCUUCCAUAUAAUACUUUUCUUUGCACUUUUUGUAUUUCUUUUUGUAUUUUCUGCUCUCUUUCUUAAAAAUCUUUUUGAGAUUUCUUGGUAGCAUUUCCAUGUCCUCAUUGUUGCCUCUACUACUUGAACAUUCAUCACUUGAUUUGUCCUUGGGCACAAUGGAUUUCUUCUUCUCUUUUACUUUGUCAGCUUUGAAGGCAAGUACUUUCUUCUUUUUGUCAUCCUCAAUUGCAUUAUUCUUUUCAAACGUUAUCUCAUAUGCAAUGAGAGACCCAAUAAGCUCAUCAUAUGUGUAAGAUUGGAAAUUCUUUGAAUCUAAAAGAACUGUGACUUUUGUUUUCAAAGUUUUUGGCAAAGACCUCAAAAUCUUCUUGACAAGCUCCUCUUCCAUAAAUGUCUUUCCACAUACAUUGAGGAUAUUGAUAAGGUUUGUGAACCUUGUCCUCAUUUCAGCCAUGGAUUCAUCAGGAUUUUUCUCGAAACGCUCAUAGUCACGAACAAGUAAGUUGGGUUUUGAUUUCUUGACCUGAUUGGUACCUCCGUACAUCACUUGUAGCUUUUCCCAAAUUUCCUUAUCUGAAGUGCAACCUGAAAUACAAUAAUAUUCAGUAGCAUCUAAACCACAAUACAAAAUAUUUAUAGCUUUGGCAUUCAUUUGCACUUUCUUCCAAUCAUAUGUAGUAUAUUCACUUUUAGAGUGGAGAAAGCGAAUCCA
rnacentral:misc_RNA from 1 species